AUUGAACGCUGGCGGCAGGCCUAACACAUGCCAGUCGAACGGCAACACGAAGCAGCUUGCUGCUUCGCUGACGAGUGGCGGACGGGUGAGUAAUGUCUGGGAAGCUGCCUGAUGGAGGGGGAGAACUACUGGAAACGGUAGCUAAUACCGCAUAAUGUCGCAAGACCAAAGAGGGGGAGCUUUGGGCCUCUUGCCAUCGGAUGUGCCCAGAUGGGAUUAGCUUGUUGGUGGGGUAACGGCUCACCAAGGCGACGAUCCCUAGCUGGUCUGAGAGGAUGACCAGCCACACUGGAACUGAGACACGGUCCAGACUCCUACGGGAGGCAGCAGUGGGGAAUAUUGGACAAUGGGCGCAAGCCUGAUGCAGCCAUGCCGCGUGUAUGAAGAAGGCCUUCGGGUUGUAAAGUACUUUCGGCGGGGAGGAAGAGAGUAAGGUUAAUACCUUUGCUCAUUGACGUUACCCGCAGAAGAAGCACCGGCUAACUCCGUG
rnacentral:rRNA from 1 species